ncrna:unclassified sequences DTF805b RNA
UGAGCGGUACCCGAAAAGCUCAUAGAGUAGGGA